UAGUCACGCUGUAAACGAUGUCGAUUUGGAGUUUGGGGGCAUGACCCUUGGGCUCGGAGCUAACGCGUUAAAUCGACCGCCUGGGGAGUACGGCCGCAAGGUUAAAACUCAAAUGAAUUGACGGGGGCCCGCACAAGCGGUGGAGCAUGUGGUUUAAUUCGAUGCAACGCGAAGAACCUUACCUGGUCUUGACAUCCAUAGAAUCUUUCAGAGAUGAGGGAGUGCCUUCGGGAGCUAUGAGACAGGUGCUGCAUGGCUGUCGUCAGCUCGUGUUGUGAAAUGUUGGGUUAAGUCCCGCAACGAGCGCAACCCCUAUCCUUUGUUGCCAGCACGUAAUGGUGGGAACUCAAAGGAGACUGCCGUUGAUAAAGCGGAGGAAGGUGGGGACGACGUCAAGUCAUCAUGGCCCUUACGACCAGGGCUACACACGUGCUACAAUGGCGUAUACAAAGGGAUGCGAAGGUGCGAACUGGAGCGGACCUCACAAAGUACGUCUAAGUCCGGAUUGGAGUCUGCAACUCGACUCCAUGAAGUCGGAAUCGCUAGUAAUCGUGAAUCAGAAUGUCACGGUGAAUACGUUCCCGGGCCUUGUACACACCGCCCGUCACACCAUGGGAGUGGGUUGCACCAGAAGUAGAUAGCUUAACCUUCGGGAGGGCGUUUACCACGGUGUGGUUCAUGACUGGGGUGAAGUCGUAACAAGGUAACCA
rnacentral:rRNA from 1 species